CGGACGGGUGAGUAACGCGUAGGAACCUACCUGGUAGCGGGGGACAACCUGGUGAAAACCAGGCUAAUACCGCAUACGCCCUACGGGGGAAUGCAGGGGAUCUUCGGACCUUGCACUAUCAGAUGGGCCUGCGUCGGAUUAGCUAGUUGGUGAGGUAAUGGCUCACCAAGGCGACGAUCCGUAGCUGGUUUGAGAGAAUGAUCAGCCACACUGGACUGAGACACGGCCCAG
rnacentral:rRNA from 1 species